GACGAACGCUGGCGGCGUGCUUAACACAUGCAAGUCGAACGGAAAGGCCCUGCUUUUGUGGGGUGCUCGAGUGGCGAACGGGCGAGUAACACGUGAGUAACCUGCCCUUGACUUUGGGAUAACUUCAGGAAACUGGGGCUAAUACCGGAUAGGGGCUCCUGCUGCAUGGUGGGGGUUGGAAAGUUUCGGCGGUUGGGGAUGGACUCGCGGCUUAUCAGCUUGUUGGUGGGGUAGUGGCUUACCAAGGCUUUGACGGGUAGCCGGCCUGAGAGGGUGACCGGCCACAUGGGGAUUGAUAUACGGCCCAGCCUCCGACGGGGGGCAGCGGGGGGGAUUAUUGCACAAGGGGGGGAGGCUGUAGGCAGCACCGCCGGGUGCGGGAUGCCGGCCUUCGGUUGGUAACCCCCUUCCGCCUGUGACGAAGGGGGAGGGAGGGUAAUGGGUAAAGAACCCCCGGCUAACUACGUG
rnacentral:rRNA from 1 species